GAUCUGUGAUGAGAAAUAGCCAAAUCUGAGCACCAAAAGAUCAGCUGGUCUGUAUGGUGCAUGAUCUGUACACAGUUCUGGGA
rnacentral:snoRNA from 1 species